rnacentral:rRNA from 1 species
CCCUAUGGGGUGCGAACGAGUGUCCGGCUCAGACUGAUUUGCAGGCUCACCGACCCAUUGAACGACGAGCUACCAUCUCGACGCGACUACCAACAAAGGAUAAUAUGAACUGAAGGCCAUUUUCAUGGUACGGGGUGCCGCCCCGCGCCAUGGGGACUGAUUUCCAGACGUACGCGUGUGGGUUGGUGGCGGUCCGCCCACAACUCAGCGUUACUUCUUUUCCUCGAGUUGGGGUUCCUGCUUAUCCCAGCCACCGCCGAGUACGGCAUAUAGCCUCACUUGAUUGGCAAGAUUGGCUAGUCGCAGGGAGACGAGUCCCUGUCGUGCCGCGUAGAGAGAACGUUGGGCAUCGAGAACGCUGAGGUAACUGUCAACACCUUUCGCGUACCGUAUGUCGGAGAGC